rnacentral:rRNA from 1 species
UACGUAGGGGGCAAGCGUUGUCCGGAAUUACUGGGUGUAAAGGGAGCGUAGGCGGGAGAGCAAGUCGACUGUGAAAUCUAUGGGCUUAACCCAUAGCUGCGAUCGAAACUGUUCAUCUUGAGUGAAGUAGAGGCAGGCGGAAUUCCUAGUGUAGCGGUGAAAUGCGUAAAUAUUAGGAGGAACACCAGUGGCGAAGGCGGCUUACUGGACUGUAACUGACGUUGAGGCUCGAAGGCGUGGGGAGCAAACAGG